GUCAGUCGAUCCUAAGCCAUAGGGAAGUUCCGUUUCAAAGGCGCACUCGCGCGCCGUCUGGCGAAAGGGGAGCCGGUCAAUAUUCCGGCACCUGGAUGUGGUGUCGAUGACGGCCUCCUCGUAGCUUUCACUAAGCAGCGACUUUGUCGAGGCGCGAGCUUGCUUAAUGAAUUUCGACAGGCUUAUGAUGGCAAAAAGUAGGCCAUAUGUCGCAUCGGAGCG
rnacentral:ncRNA from 1 species